GGCGUCGCCAAGUGGUAAGGCAUCAGCCUUCCAAGCUGACAUUCGCCGGUUCGAAUCCGGUCGCC
rnacentral:tRNA from 1 species